GGUGGAAUUAAAAUCUUGUGGUAGUGGAUCAGAGUUAGUGGGUUAGUUUUGGUGGGAUUUGUUAGUUACUGGGAUAGUGGAGAGUUGGCGUAUUAUUUGAUUUAAUUUUUAAAUUUUUAAUUUAAUUCUUUUUCCCAAAAUUCCUUCUUUCUGGCGUUUGUUUUUCUUUUCUUUUCUUUUCUCUGCCAAUUUUUUUUACUUCUUCCUUGAUUCUAUUCAUAAAUCUUUCGUUCAAAUCGCUGUACUUCAAAUUGUCGAUGUUCUUCGUUCGACUUGGUAAGUGGGGUCUUGUUUAUCUUUAGCUUUCGAUUUCUGUAAGUCCGUUUUAGGAUCUUCCUUUUUGAGAUGGCGUUAUGGUGUUGUAGUUUAGGGAAUAUAAUUUUCGUGAAU
rnacentral:lncRNA from 1 species